rnacentral:lncRNA from 1 species
CUGCUUGCCGGCGAGGCCCGUUCAGAGGCCUCCGGCGCAAUGUCAGGCUUUCUUGUCUAAGCCUGUCGAUUGUAACUCCUUUAACUGCAAAUCGUUUGUUCCUUCACCAACAUCACCUUCACCUGUAACUCCUUCACCUCCAUCACCUGGUACACCUUCACCUAUAACUCCUUCGCCGUUACCUUCGCCUUCAUCGCCACCUUCACCUGUAACUCCUUCACCCCCAUCACCUGGUACACCUUCACCCGGAACUCCUUCACCUCCAUCACCUGGGACUCCUUCGCAUCCAUCACCUGGGACACCUUCACCUGUAACUCCUUCGCCUUCAUCGCCUCCUUCACCUGCUACUCCUUCACCAUUACCUUCACCUACAACACCUUCACCACUGCCUACACCUCCAGCGCCUGCAACACAUCCUUCGCCACCGAACCCACUGGUACCUACACCUCCUUCGGAACCACCGGUGGUCGGACAUUCCCCUCCACCAGGACCGGUGGCAC